UACGGAGGGGGCGAGCGUUAUUCGGAAUCAUUGGGCGUAAAGAGCUCGUAGGCGGUGUGUCGCGUCGGCCGUGAAAACCUGCAGCUUAACUGUGGGCUUGCGGUCGAUACGGGCAUCACUGGAGUUCGGCAGGGGAGACUGGAAUUCCUGGUGUAGCGGUGAAAUGCGCAGAUAUCAGGAGGAACACCGGUGGCGAAGGCGGGUCUCUGGGCCGAUACUGACGCUGAGGAGCGAAAGCGUGGGGAGCGAACAGG
rnacentral:rRNA from 1 species